rnacentral:rRNA from 1 species
CUACGGGUCGCACCAGUGGGGAAUAUUGCACAAUGGGCGCAAGCCUGAUGCAGCCAUGCCGCGUGUAUGAAGAAGGCCUUCGGGUUGUAAAGUACUUUCAGCGGGGAGGAAGGGAGUAAAGUUAAUACCUUUGCUCAUUGACGUUACCCGCAGAAGAAGCACCGGCUAAUCCGUGCGCAGCAGCCGCGGUAAUACGGAGGGUGCAAGCGUUAAUCGGAAUUACUGGGCGUAAAGCGCACGCAGGCGGUUUGUUAAGUCAGAUGUGAAAUCCCCGGGCUCAACCUGGGAACUGCAUCUGAUACUGGCAAGCUCGAGUCUCGUAGAGGGGGGUAGAAUUCCAGGUGUAGCGGUGAAAUGCGUAGAGAUCUGGAGGAAUACCGGUGGCGAAGGCGGCCCCCUGGACGAAGACUGACGCUCAGGUGCGAAAGCGUGGGGAGCAAACAGGAUUAGAUACCCCCGUAGUC